AGAGUUUGAUCAUGGCUCAGAAUGAACGCUGGCGGCAUGCCUAACACAUGCAAGUCGAACGAAGCCUUCGGGUUUAGUGGCGCACGGGUGCGUAACGCGUGGGAAUCUGCCCCUUGGUUCGGAAUAACAGUUGGAAACGACUGCUAAUACCGGAUGAUGACGUAAGUCCAAAGAUUUAUCGCCGAGGGAUGAGCCCGCGUAGGAUUAGGUAGUUGGUGUGGUAAAGGCGCACCAAGCCGACGAUCCUUAGCUGGUCUGAGAGGAUGAUCAGCCACACUGGGACUGAGACACGGCCCAGACUCCUACGGGAGGCAGCAGUGGGGAAUAUUGGACAAUGGGCGAAAGCCUGAUCCAGCAAUGCCGCGUGAGUGAUGAAGGCCUUAGGGUUGUAAAGCUCUUUUACCCGGGAUGAUAAUGACAGUACCGGGAGAAUAAGCUCCGGCUAACUCCGUGCCAGCCGCCGCGGUAAUUC
rnacentral:rRNA from 1 species